rfam:Triticum aestivum genome assembly, contig: Triticum_aestivum_CS42_TGACv1_scaffold_392472_5AS
CAACUACUCCCUCUGUCCCAAAUUUCAUGUCUUGGAUUUGUCUAGAUACGGAUGUAUCUAAUACUAAAAUGUGACUUGAUACAUCCGUAUAUAGACAAAUCUAAGACAGUAAUUUUGGGAUGGAGGGAUGUAACAC